GAAAAAUUAGCGGAUGACUUGUGGCUGGGGGUGAAAGGCCAAUCAAACCGGGAGAUAGCUGGUUCUCCCCGAAAGCUAUUUAGGUAGCGCCUCGUGAAUUCAUCUCCGGGGGUAGAGCACUGUUUCGGCAAGGGGGUCAUCCCGACUUACCAACCCGAUGCAAACUGCGAAUACCGGAGAAUGUUAUCACGGGAGACACACGGCGGGUGCUAACGUCCGUCGUGAAGAGGGAAACAACCCAGACCGCCAGCUAAGGUCCCAAAGUCAUGGUUAAGUGGGAAACGAUGUGGGAAGGCCCAGACAGCCAGGAUGUUGGCUUAGAAGCAGCCAUCAUUUAAAGAAAGCGUAAUAGCUCACUGGUCGAGUCGGCCUGCGCGGAAGAUGUAACGGGGCUAAACCAUGCACCGAAGCUGCGGCAGCGACACUAUGUGUUGUUGGGUAGGGGAGCGUUCUGUAAGCCUGUGAAGGUGGCCUGUGAGGGUUGCUGGAGGUAUCAGAAGUGCGAAUGCUGACAUAAGUAACGAUAAAGCGGGUGAAAAGCCCGCUCGCCGGAAGACCAAGGGUUCCUGUCCAACGUUAAUCGGGGCAGGGUGAGUCGACCCCUAAGGCGAGGCCGAAAGGCGUAGUCGAUGGGAAACAGGUUAAUAUUCCUGUACUUGGUGUUACUGCGAAGGGGGGACGGAGAAGGCUAUGUUGGCCGGGCGACGGUUGUCCCGGUUUAAGCGUGUAGGCUGGUUUUCCAGGCAAAUCCGGAAAACUAAGGCUGAGGCGUGAUGACGAGGCACUACGGUGCUGAAGCAACAAAUGCCCUGCUUCCAGGAAAAGCCUCUAAGCAUCAGGUAACAUCAAAUCGUACCCCAAACCGACACAGGUGGUCAGGUAGAGAAUACCAAGGCGCUUGAGAGAACUCGGGUGAAGGAACUAGGCAAAAUGGUGCCGUAACUUCGGGAGAAGGCACGCUGAUAUGUAGGUGAAGCGACUUGCUCGUGGAGCUGAAAUCAGUCGAAGAUACCAGCUGGCUGCAACUGUUUAUUAAAAACACAGCACUGUGCAAACACGAAAGUGGACGUAUACGGUGUGACGCCUGCCCGGUGCCGGAAGGUUAAUUGAUGGGGUCAGCGCAAGCGAAGCUCUUGAUCGAAGCC
rnacentral:rRNA from 1 species